GUGAGAGGGGGCUUGCUCCCGAUAGCUGUGGACCAGUCGGCAUCUACUUGACUGAACCACCGCCAUCGGGAGCAAGCCCCCUCCCAC
rnacentral:misc_RNA from 1 species